GGUGCCCCAGUAAUUUCAUUAGUUAAAAAAGAUUUUUCUUUCUUUCCGGCGGCCGCUUGUGUUCUCCUCAUGGGCUGCCCCUCUGAUGUCCUUAUCAUAGGAACGGAUCACUUGGCACUCUUACAAAGUGUUUAUUAUUGUUGUGUCUGCAUAUUCUGAAAAAUUUACCCAAAGUUAUACAUUUUUUUCCCCAGGGCUUUUCCCACUUAAUGUUUUUAAGAUCUGGUAAUAUUGCUCUUGGGAUGGAGCUGAUGGCUUCUAAUUCCUGCACAGUGUCGGUGGAACACCUCCACCCUCUUUUACUCACCCAGUUCCCCGGGGAGGGGGGGGCAGCCGGGGGGCAGCUCUAGGACUGUGCACAUUCUGUGUGAUCCUUACAAGCUGAGAAUUCCCUUGAGGUAUUUACCCAUGAAUGAGGUACUGCUGACAGGGAUCACGCGAAGGUAUUUCAUUACUAGGACUGCUGAACCCACUUUAACUCCCCGGAGCUGUCUCCCUAGGUCCGUACCUCUCCACAUCUCCACCGGCACUUAGUGUUGCCUUCUGUUCAAAAUGUUGCCAUUCUCAUGCGCUCACGUGGUCUCUCUAUUGCUGUUCACCAUCAUUAUUGACAUUAGAAAGGAAUUCCCAAGUGUUAGAAAAUUACACUGUCCUUUCUGAGGUCAUGCUGUGUGACUAAUGUCUUCUCUUAUAUAGUCUUGUUUUCAGCAGCUACUGUCAAGCUUUCAAUGUUUCUGCUAUUUGCUGUACCUACGGCUGCUCUACGCCGGGUACACAGAAUGCAGCUGGCUUGUGUCCGUGAUGCGUGUGUAACUUACAAAGAGGGCACUGAGCUCCGAAUAAUCACGGUUUCUUCUCCCUGUUGUUCUUCCCUCCUUUUUUUCCUCUCUCUCUUCUCUUGUUAUAUUUUCCUUAAAGAAAUACCUGUCUUACCAUAUUACAGAUUCACCUUCUUAAUUUUUCAAUGUUUCCCUGACGUUUUACGUGUUUGUUGAGAUUUGCCACCAGAAGGUUCCCAGGCAUCCUUCCUCAGGGAGGAGCUGAGCUACUGUGUACAAGGAAGCAGAGUCCAGGUUGGCGUGGCGGUGCUGGGCCUGGACUCAGAAUUCUCAAGUCCGGGAUUCAAGUGUACGACAGUUGGCUGAACUUAACAAGAAAUGGACAAGCAAAGCAAUGCAGGGCCUGAUUUGUAAAGGACACACAGUUUACUACUUUGAAAAUAGGAGUUCUGGUUCAACACGGCAACACUGGAAGAUCCUGAACUGCCCUGGACCCACAGACCCUACAACUGCAUAAGGAAUAAUUUCCUCUGAAAAAGACCUAGAAACUAGCUGAGCACCUCCUAUCUGUGAGGUAAAGAAGAAGAAAAGACCAGCAUUGAAGGAGAUGCUGAGGGCAUCUUUGUGGACCCCCCCACCAAAGGAUUUGCAAACCCUGGUUCAAGGCCAGGGGCACCAGGCUGCAAGGAGCCAAAAGCACCAGGAGAAGGAAGUGCGUGGAUGAGGACAGUCAGAAGCACCAGAGACAGCCAAAGGACUCCUCAUAUGUUUCCACCCACAUCCUUGUGAGCAGAGGAUAGAGAGGGCGUGUGCCCCCCACGCAGGGAAACUGGGGUGGUGGGGGGAGAAGGUUAGCCUAGAGAGACC